AAGAUUGGCCGAGAGGCCUUAUCUCUAUAUCCCUCACCUCUGUGAACUGUGGACCCUCGGGUCUAUCUAUACAAACAUCAGUGUAAUGAACGUAAAGUAACAUUAACAAAACA
rnacentral:misc_RNA from 1 species